UNCUCCAGGUGUUUUGGCAGAUGUGUGCC
rnacentral:piRNA from 1 species